AAAGUCGGCGAGAUGAUCGCGGAGGCGAGAACCGAAAGGUUGCCUCUGAGGAAAGUCCGAGCUCCAUCGGGCACGGUGCUGGGUAACGCCCAGUGAGGGUGACCUCAAGGAAAGUGCAACAGAGAUAUACCGCCUGGGAUCCGCCGUCAGGCAGAUCUUCGGUAAGGGUGGAAAGGCGAGGUAAGAGCUCACCGGCAGUCAGGUGACUGGCUGGCCCUGUAAACCCCACCUGGAGCAAGACCGAAUAGAGGAACAAUGAAGCGGCCCGCUUCGUUCCCGGGUAAGGUCGCAGGAGGCGGACGGUAACGUUCGUCCCAGAUAGAUGAUCAUCACCUCGCAAGAGGGACAGAACUCGGCUUAUUGCCGACUUUGCAU
rnacentral:RNase_P_RNA from 1 species